GUGGGAGGUACAGAAGAUUUCUUGUUUGUGCAAGGCUAUGUUACCUCUUCUCCUGUUGAUCUAAAGGGUGUUACCGUUACCUACAAGAUUGAAUUUCAUCUAUACUGGCCUCCUUAUGCAACUCAUGCCUCUUAAUUAGGAACUUGAUUUGUUCUUAUUUUAGUUGAAGGCUCAUGUUUUACAAAGCUGUAUCAGAGCAGUUUUUGAAAUGAAAAACGUCAUGGUUUAUGUUUGGAAACUUAGUUUUUACAUUUGUAUUUUACAACUACUCCUACACUCAUCCAAUUAUGGUACACUAUAGUGAAUAUUGUAAUAAAUAUAAAGGAUUUUCAACAGUGACGGAUCCAGGAUUUCUUAGUUGUGGGGCCAAAACACACGCACGUACAUAUAAAUAAAAUAUAAAAGAUUUAGUGUGGGCAAAUAAUACAAAUAACAUAUAUUUUUUACUGUACAAACAAGCAAGAUACAUAGUAUUUAAAAAACAUUUAACCACAAGGGGUGACACAAGUGGUGACUGUCUAUUUUUUUAAGAGAUUUCACCUAGGCUUCUGACCCGGGUUUGAAAGAGGAGAAAAAAAUUAUGUGAUCCUUUGCAAGAUUGUGAAUGGAACUUGAAAGCAGCAGAGUAUUAGGUUCAAGCUGAGAGCAUGAGCAAACUAAACUUUCGCAGGUUCAAAUCUUUUAAUUUGUUUUCAGAUAGUAUUCACAAGCAAAAUAUAAAAAUCCCAGCAUAGAAGAUCAUAUACAAUAGAACGUAUAACCCUUGACAAUACGUUGAGGCAGUGAACAACUGUUUACAUUAUUUUACUUAUCGACUAUCCUAGGUUUAAUGAGGUAAUUUCAUAUGGUUCAACAAAACUUGCAUAAGCUUUGAAAUGAAAAGAUUGAUUUUCUUAAUGGAUGGAUGGGAUAACCAAACAAGAUAGCAAAUUAUAUACUAGGGUGUUUCUCAAAAAAUAGUCCUCAGUUCCUAACACGUGAACAAGGAAAGAUGGCACCUAAUCCUUACAGGCAGAAAGAGGCUAUCAAGAAAGUCUGAACAGUUUGUGAGCUGCUUAUUAUAUCAAGGAAAGUCUAAGCAGCCUUUUAUUUCCUUGAAAAAAGAAAAACUUAGGACAUUAGGUCAGGUGGUGGGGAUCAUUUUAUUUCAAAGACAUGUAUGUGCCGCAAUGAGUUUAUAAUGAACCUAAAUUUAUCAACAAAAGUCAAGAAUCCUAAUUGACAACAAGUUAUCAUAGUCAUUAAGAAAUUCCGUAAACUUGAAUAGCAGCGCAUUUAGUUUCCCACAUAUACAGUAACCUUGAUUUCUGAAAUAGUAUGAAUCAAUGAAUUUGGUAAAACGAAUACAAUAUAAACCUUGAAUGCUUCCAUCUUAAACAAGGCACAAAAAAAAAUUCAAAUAUACAAGAGGUGCAAGAAACACCGAUGAAGCAGCAAAAGCAGAACAUGAUUGUAGUUAUAUGAAUAUAUUUCUGAGAGCUGCAGUGUUUACAAAUUAGUAAAGAAAGAAUAAAUAUAUUAAGCAGCCAGAGGAAGCGUUAGGUGAAGAUAUAAUUCUUUGAAGUGAUUUCGGUGUAGUAGUAGAACUAAAGCCUCUUCCCGUGACUCCUGUUGCAAUACUUCAAAGAAAAACUUUAAUUGUUCAAAAUUGAUUUAUAUGGAAGUUAAACCCGGGGAUUGUGUAGGCGAGGUCUAUUGCAGAAAACCCGGCCGUUGGCCCGCACAAAUGCUGCUAUACCAACACUAAUGCUUGCCCACAUUAGCGAAAAGAACAAGUGCCGAAAAUCAUAUCGAACUGUAGGAAAAAUGAACAGUCAGGCUUAAAGAUAACCGAUUUUACACCAUAUGUGAUAAGUAGUUGAUUAAUCUAUACGUGGUUGGCCUUAACCCCAAGCUAGCAAAAUCUAUAUUAGACGGUUAAACAAGACAAAUAGAGACAAAACUUCACUAUGUAACAACUUGAUAAUAAUGUAAUCAGUACAGGAAUAUCUAAUUUACUCUGCUUGUAUUCCUGCAACGAGGGAAGGACAAAAAUUCUCAUAAUCUUUGAAAGUCACGUUUUGCUUAAAUAUCUAGAAAUCGGGCAUUUUACGAUGCUUCAAAUUCUUUCCUUGACAACCUAAUUAUUUUAUUAUGAAAACUAAAGAUCCAUAUUAGAAGUGGCUUUCCUCCUUAUAUAUAUUUUUUGAACGUCUUUCCUUUUCUUAUAUAAAAGAGCCUAAAAUUGCAUACAUGAAUUUGGGUCAGUACUGAAAUGACCCAUAUAUACAUAACCACCUAAAAAUGAGGCGGGGUCGCAUAAUCCUAUAAACCAUGAAAGUCACUAAUAUAGCGUAAUAAACAUAUAAUUCACACAUAUAGAGAAUUAAUAUACGUAAAUGAUGUCAGACCGUCCACGCAUGAAGAGGCUACCCAUCAUACAAAGAAGUCAUGACUAAAGACUCGUUUGAGUUAGGUGACUCAUCAUUGGGUGUGUAAUUGUGUCCACCACCGUAGAUAAGUUUACCGAUAUUUUUUAUGAACUUUUUUAUGUAAGUUACUAUUGUGGCGGCCUUGAAUUACAAACUAAAGGAACGCAACUUUGACUUAUUCUUAUCGUGUUCCCUUUACCUUAUCACUCAUUUACUAGUGCCACCUGCUCCACCAUUUUGAAAGGCAUUUUAUUUUAACUUGGAAAGAAGCAUCUCACCUAAAAUCACUUAAUAAAAGUAUAAAAAAAAAAGUGAACUGAAAAAUGAAAAAUCAAAUUUUUGCACGCAAUUCAAAAUGCAGUAAAGUAAUUUUGGCCCUUUCUACACUGCAACAAGGUCUUCAAGGAUUCACACAAAUUUUCCAACAUCUUAUAAUGACUAGACUAGUGAAUUUAGAAUUCCUUGACUCUGAUUCGCCAUCACCUGCAAUGCAACAUAACAAGCUAGCUUUUCACACUGUAAUGUGAAGUAUGAACCUAGUCUUUAUAAUGAGAUAUAACCCUCCCUUUUGUGAUCAAAACUUAGUUACAAAUCAUAGAUAGCUAUGGCUUAUGCUUUGCAAAACUAUGCUCUUAAUAUUUUUCUUUUGGCCUUGGCCUUAAUCCCAUUUGAGGGAGCCUGUGGCUCCCAUCAUCACCAAUUGCAGCACCUCAAAUCCCUUCACUUCUCUCUGUUUCAACAUGAAACCAUAAACAGAACAGGAUAUGUCAUAGUGAAUGGAGUGCAAGGAGGGCCAGGAAUCACUGAAACCACAACCCCUUUUGGCACUCUAUUUGUCUUUCAGGACCCUUUGACUGUCACAGCCAACAGAUCCUCCAAACUUGUUGGAAUUGCUGAGGGAACUUCCAUCACCUCAAGCCUUGAUGGGCUUCGCAGCAUUUCGAUUGCGAAGCUAACUCUGCGCCUGAAAAAUCACAGGGGUUCUGUUUCCAUUGUUGGAGGUACACAUAAUGUUAAGCCUUCAGAUCAUCCAAUAGUGGGAGGUACAGAAGAUUUCUUGUUUGUGCAAGGCUAUGUUACCUCUUCUCCUGUUGAUCUAAAGGGUGUUACCGUUACCUACAAGAUUGAAUUUCAUCUAUACUGGCCUCCUUAUGCAACUCAUGCCUCUUAAUUAGGAACUUGAUUUGUUCUUAUUUUAGUUGAAGGCUCAUGUUUUACAAAGCUGUAUCAGAGCAGUUUUUGAAAUGAAAAACGUCAUGGUUUAUGUUUGGAAACUUAGUUUUUACAUUUGUAUUUUACAACUACUCCUACACUCAUCCAAUUAUGGUACACUAUAGUGAAUAUUGUAAUAAAUAUAAAG
rnacentral:lncRNA from 1 species